ACCACUUCCAAUCAUCUAUCUCUUCCAUUAACAAGUUCAUUCUAAGCUUGAAGUUCAUCCAUGGAAGGUGCAACUUGAAGGACUUUCUAAGGAGCUUGUUCUAGUCUUUUUCACCAUCAUAUUCUCAAUAGAUUCUACCCUAGCUAUAAGCUAGUAUAUGAAGUUGUCGUUAAAUGCUUGGAGCUUGCAUAUGGAGGUGGUCGUUGUGGGAUGCGAACUGAUAUGUCCCGUAUUUAAUAAAUAAACUUUAUGAACUUAUUAAACCUACGUUUUGGACUUUAAACUUAU
rnacentral:lncRNA from 1 species